UGGGGGAUAUUGCGCAAUGGGGGCAACCCUGACGCAGCAACGCCGCGUGAAGGAUGAAGGUUUUCGGAUUGUAAACUUCUUUUAUUAAGGACGAAAAAUGACGGUACUUAAUGAAUAAGCUCCGGCUAACUACGUGCCAGCAGCCGCGGUAAUACGUAGGGAGCAAGCGUUGUCCGGAUUUACUGGGUGUAAAGGGUGCGUAGGCGGCUUUGCAAGUCAGAUGUGAAAUCUAUGGGCUCAACCCAUAAACUGCAUUUGAAACUGUAGAGCUUGAGUGAAGUAGAGGCAGGCGGAAUUCCCCGUGUAGCGGUGAGAUGCGUAGAGAUAGGGAGGAACACCAGUGGCGAAGGCGGCCUGCUGGGCUUUAACUGACGCUGAGGCACGAAAGCGUGGGUAGCAAACAGGAUUAGAUACCCUGGUAGUCCACGCUGUAAACGAUGAUUACUAGGUGUGGGGGGUCUGACCCCUUCCGUGCCGGAGUUAACACAAUAAGUAAUCCACCUGGGGAGUACGGCCGCAAGGUUGAAACUCAAAGGAAUUGACGGGGGCCCGCACAAGCAGUGGAGUAUGUGGUUUAAUUCGAAGCAACGCGAAGAACCUUACCAGGUCUUGACAUCCAACUAACGAAGUAGAGAUACAUUAGGUGCCCUUCGGGGAAAGUUGAGACAGGUGGUGCAUGGUUGUCGUCAGCUCGUGUCGUGAGAUGUUGGGUUAAGUCCCGCAACGAGCGCAACCCUUGCUAUUAGUUGCUACGCAAGAGCACUCUAAUAGGACUGCCGUUGACAAAACGGAGGAAGGUGGGGACGACGUCAAAUCAUCAUGCCCCUUAUGACCUGGGCUACACACGUACUACAAUGGAUGUUAACAGAGGGAAGCAAGACAGCGAUGUGGAGCAAACCCCUAAAAACAUUCUCAGUUCAGAUUGCAGGCUGCAACCCGCCUGCAUGAAGAUGGAAUUGCUAGUAAUCGCGGAUCAGCAUGCCGCGGUGAAUACGUUCCC
rnacentral:rRNA from 1 species